GAUGAACGCUGGCGGCGUGCCUAACACAUGCAAGUCGAACGGAGUCCCGCCUUAGAGACCUUCGGGUCAAAGAGGGGAAGACUGAGUGGCGGACGGGUGAGUAACACGUGGGCAACCUGGCUCAUAGAGGGGGAUAACAGAGAGAAAUUUCUGCUAAUACCGCAUAAGCACACCCUGCCGCAUGGCAGAGUGUGAAAAGAGAAUCGCUAUGAGAUGGACCCGCGUCUGAUUAGCCAGUUGGCAGGGUAAGAGCCUACCAAAGCGACGAUCAGUAGCCGAUUUGAGAGGAUGAACGGCCACAUUGGGACUGAGACACGGCCCAAACUCCUACGGGAGGCAGCAGUGGGGGAUAUUGCACAAUGGGGGGAACCCUGAUGCAGCGACGCCGCGUGAGUGAAGAAGUAUUUCGGUAUGUAAAGCUCUAUCAGCAGGGAAGAUAAUGACAGUACCUGAAGAAGAAGCCCCGGCUAACUACGUG
rnacentral:rRNA from 1 species